rnacentral:misc_RNA from 1 species
GGAACUCCUGGCUACCUUGAUCCUGAGUACUUCUUUACUCACAAGUUGACAGAGAAAAGUGAUGUUUAUAGCCUUGGUAUUGUAUUUCUGGAGCUUUUAACAGGGAUGCGACCUAUAUCUCAGGGAAGGAACAUCGUCCGAGAGGUGAAUGCAGCAUGUGAAUCAGGGAUGAUGUCUUCUAUUAUCGACAAGGGUAUAGGUCCAUAUUCCU